rfam:Zea mays cultivar B73 chromosome 10, whole genome shotgun sequence.
AUUUAUCGGUCUUUUGACUGAGAUAAAAUAUAAUAUCUGUUCUUAUAAGUUUAAUAUCUGAUAUGUAGAUAAUAUGUUUAAUUGGUAUAAAUUUAUUUUUCAUGGUUAUCAAAUAUGAUCGUGUGCCCUCGUAACCCAGGAGCAUUGUACUUAACAACUGUAGUCCAUGAUCUUCUAAUUAGGGCAUGUACAGUGGGUAUCUU